rnacentral:rRNA from 1 species
UGUCUCAAAGAUUAAGCCAUGCAUGUCAAAGUAUAUACAUUUAUACGGUGAAAACAGUUAUAGUUUAUUUGAUGGUCACUUUUACAUGGAUAACCAUGGUAAUUCUAUGGCUAAUACAUGCGCAAAAGCCACCUUCUCUGGAGGGGCUGUGUUUAGAUACAAAACCAACCCACUUCG